rnacentral:rRNA from 1 species
AUGCAUGUCUAAGUAUAAGCAAUUAUACAGCGAAACUGCGAAUGGCUCAUUAUAUAAGUUAUCGUUUAUUUGAUAGUAUCCUACUACUUGGAUAACCGUGGUAAUUCUAGAGCUAAUACAUGCUAAAAAUCCCGACUUCGGAAGGGAUGUAUUUAUUAGAUUAAAAACCAAUGCCCUUCGGGGCUCUCUGGUGAUUCAUGAUAACUUCUCGAAUCGCAUGGCCUUGCGCCGGCGAUGGUUCAUUCAAAUUUCUUCCCUAUCAACUUUCGAUGUUCGGGUAUUGGCCAAACAUGGUUGCAACGGGUAACGGAGGGUUAGGGCUCGACCCCGGAGAAGGAGCCUGAGAAACGGCUACUACAUCCAAGGAAGGCAGCAGGCGCGCAAAUUACCCAAUCCCGACUCGGGGAGGUAGUGACAAUAAAUACUGAUACAGGGCUCUUUUGGGUCUUGUAAUUGGAAUGAGUACAAUUUAAAUCCCUUAACGAGGAACAAUUGGAGGGCAAGUCUGGUGCCAGCAGCCGCGGUAAUUCCAGCUCCAAUAGCGUAUAUUAAAGUUGUUGUGGUUAAAAAGCUCGUAGUUGAACCUUGGGCCUGGCUGGCCGGUCCGCCUCACCGCGUGUACUGGUCCGGCCGGGCCUUUCCCUCUGUGGAACCACAUGCCCUUCACUGGGCGUGGCGGGGAAGCAGGACUUUUACUUUGAAAAAAUUAGAGUGCUCCAGGCAGGCCUAUGCUCGAAUACAUUAGCAUGGAAUAAUAAAAUAGGAUGUGCGGUUCUAUUUUGUUGGUUUCUAGGACCGCCGUAAUGAUUAAUAGGGACAGUCGGGGGCAUCAGUAUUCAAUUGUCAGAGGUGAAAUUCUUGGAUCUAUUGAAGACUAACUACUGCGAAAGCAUUUGCCAAGGAUGUUUUCAUUAAUCAGGAACGAAAGUUAGGGGAUCGAAGACGAUCAGAUACCGUCGUAGUCUUAACCAUAAACUAUGCCGACUAGGGAUCGGACGAUGUUAUAUUUUGACUCGUUCGGCACCUUACGAGAAAUCAAAGUGCUUGGGCUCCAGGGGGAGUAUGGUCGCAAGGCUGAAACUUAAAGGAAUU